UAGGGAAUCUUCGGCAAUGGGGGCAACCCUGACCGAGCAACGCCGCGUGAGUGAAGAAGGUUUUCGGAUCGUAAAGCUCUGUUGUAAGAGAAGAACGUGUGUGAGAGUGGAAAGUUCACACAGUGACAGUAACUUACCAGAAAGGGACGGCUAACUACGUGCCAGCAGCCGCGGUAAUACGUAGGUCCCGAGCGUUGUCCGGAUUUAUUGGGCGUAAAGCGAGCGCAGGCGGUUUAAUAAGUCUGAAGUUAAAGGCAGUGGCUUAACCAUUGUUCGCUUUGGAAACUGUUAAACUUGAGUGCAGAAGGGGAGAGUGGAAUUCCAUGUGUAGCGGUGAAAUGCGUAGAUAUAUGGAGGAACACCGGUGGCGAAAGCGGCUCUCUGGUCUGUAACUGACGCUGAGGCUCGAAAGCGUGGGGAGCAAACAGG
rnacentral:rRNA from 1 species